ensembl:lncRNA
UGUAAAUUGCCAAAGCCCCACUCACACCAAGAGAGAAGCUGCACUUCAGUGGCCCCGUGUGCGUGCAAGUCUCUGGUUUCCCCCUGGACCCUGCGGCUUCCAAAGGCAGAACUACCAAAUUUGCAGCCCCCUCCUCUGAAGCCAGUCAAGGUAUUUUCACUAAUUGAUUUCAGAUCAUUCAGCAGUGAAUCGGCAAUGAACACAGAAACGCACACUGAUUUUGUUUGGGAACCUUCCAUUUUGGGACUCUCCAAAGGACAGAAGGUUUACUCUUCCAUGGAGUGUCCUGCUUUCUCCCGGUACCUGCGUGACAUGUCUGUCUGGAUAUAGCACUGACUAGAGUUCAGAGCUGAAGGGCUGAACUUCUUUUUCAUUCCCAAUUUCUUUGAAACUUCCCCCCCUCUUCACCCCAUACUUUUUUGUACUUGCUCUUUUAAAAAGGUGUUAGCUGUUGUUGCACUGGGUACAUUUUCCUGCACUUCUCUACUGCAAGUACCUGAGACAUUGUCCUUGUUGCUGCACCUGAGCUUGAGAGUGGCUGAAGAAGAAAAGGCAGCUCAUCAUCUGCAGGAACUGGCAGCACCAUUUAACCAGUUUAACUUCACACGUUUGUGUUGCUCCAGGGGGUUGCUAUGCCUUUGUUGCAAAACUCAUCUGACCUCGUGCGCCAACAACAGUGAUACCAGUAGGUCUGCCUGGGAAACACACCCUGCCACUUCCACUGUGCACCACGCUGCGUUAGGGGAUGUUAGCAUGGCCUCAGCUCAGCUGGGAGCUGGGUCUCGCUCCUCAAUCAGAGGGAGAUCGCUUACCCACUGAGCUGGGACAGACCCUUUUCUGUGACCUCUGUGAAAGUUGCCCCCGGCUCCCCCAGCAGUUAACACGUUCUGAAGAUCAUCCUUUGUCUCAAUGCUGCUGGUCACAUACUGGCAAAGGACUGCUACACUGAAAUCAAUCAAACAAACUGCUCCGAGCUUUAAUCUCUUGCACAACAGCUAAAGCAACAGAGAGUGCCAUCUCACAAGUCCUGUAUUUGUAAGCAUUCAGCAGAAGAAAUGUAUGUGACAGAUUGCCUUCUCUGUGAUCAACAUGUCGAUUGAUAUUUUUACCUUGUUCUGUGAUAGCUGCUUCUAAAAUAAAGCACUUAAUGAGUAAAUAAGAGCAAGAGCAAAUUGGUCCACGUUAACAGAAUUUCAAUGACCGUGAUAAAACCAGGGGUGUCCAGAAAACAAGCCUUCCAGUUUACA